rnacentral:rRNA from 1 species
CAGUAGCCGCGGGAAUACGGAGGGCGCGAGCGUUACCCGGAUUUACUGGGCGUAAAGGGCGUGUAGGCGGCCUGGGGCGUCCCAUGUGAAAGGCCACGGCUCAACCGUGGAGGAGCGUGGGAUACGCUCAGGCUAGAGGGUGGGAGAGGGUGGUGGAAUUCCCGGAGUAGCGGUGAAAUGCGCAGAUACCGGGAGGAACGCCGAUGGCGAAGGCAGCCACCUGGUCCACUUCUGACGCUGAGGCGCGAAAGCGUGGGGAGCAAACCGGAUUAGAGACCCCUGUAGUCCCUGUCUCUUAUAC